UACGGAGGGUGCAAGCGUUAUCCGGAUUUACUGGGUUUAAAGGGUGCGUAGGUGGGUAGGUAAGUCAGUGGUGAAAUCUUCAAGCUUAACUUGGAAACUGCCAUUGAUACUAUUUAUCUUGAAUACUUUGGAGGUAAGCGGAAUAUGUCAUGUAGCGGUGAAAUGCUUAGAUAUGACAUAGAACACCAAUUGCGAAGGCAGCUUACUGGGCAGUUAUUGACGCUGAGGCACGAAAGCGUGGGGAGCAAACAGG
rnacentral:rRNA from 1 species